rnacentral:rRNA from 1 species
CGGGACGGGGUGAGUAAUGUCUGGGAAACUGCUGAUGGAGGGGGGUAACUACUGGAAACGGUAGCUAAUACCGCAUAACGUCGCAAGACCAAAGAGGGGGACCUUAGGGCCUCUUGCCAUCGGAUGUGCCCAGAUGGGAUUAGCUAGUAGGUGGGGUAACGGCUCACCUAGGCGACGAUCCCUAGCUGGUCUGAGAGGAUGACCAGCCACACUGGAACUGAGACACGGUCCAG